AAAGCUGGCUCCUUCGGAGUCCGCAUUGUAAUUUGCAGAGGAUGCUUUGGGUGCGGCCCCCGUCUAAGUGCCCUGGAACGGGCCGUCAGAGAGGGUGAGAAUCCCGUCUUGGGCGGGGUGUCCGUGCCCGUGUAAAGCUCCUUCGACGAGUCGAGUUGUUUGGGAAUGCAGCUCUAAAUGGGUGGUAAAUUUCAUCUAAAGCUAAAUACUGGCCGGAGACCGAUAGCGCACAAGUAGAGUGAUCGAAAGAUGAAAAGCACUUUGAAAAGAGAGUUAAACAGCACGUGAAAUUGUUGAAAGGGAAGCGCUUGCAACCAGACUCGCCCGCGGGGUUCAGCCGGCAUUCGUGCCGGUGUACUUCCCCGUGGGCGGGCCAGCGUCGGUUUGGGCGGCCGGUCAAAGGCCCCUGGAAUGUAGUGCCCUCCGGGGCACCUUAUAGCCAGGGGUGCAAUGCGGCCAGCCUAGACCGAGGAACGCGCUUCGGCUCGGACGCUGGCAUAAUGGUUGUAAACGACCCGUCUUGAAACACGGACCAAGGAGUCUAACAUCUACGCGAGUGUUCGGGUGUCAAACCCGUGCGCGCAGUGAAAGCGAACGGAGGUGGGAGCCCCCUCGUGGGGCGCACCAUCGACCGAUCCUGAUGUCUUCGGAUGGAUUUGAGUAAGAGCGUAAAUGUGGGGACCCGAAAGAUGGUGAACUAUGCCUGAAUAGGGCGAAGCCAGAGGAAACUCUGGUGGAGGCUCGCAGCGGUUCUGACGUGCAAAUCGAUCGUCAAAUUUGGGUAUAGGGGCGAAAGACUAAUCGAACCAUCUAGUAGCUGGUUCCUGCCGAAGUUUCCCUCAGGAUAGCAGUAACGUAUAAUCAGUUUUAUGAGGUAAAGCGAAUGAUUAGAGGCAUUGGGGUUGAAACAACCUUAACCUAUUCUCAAACUUUAAAUAUGUAAGAAGCCCUUGUUUCUUAAUUGAACGUGGGCAUUAGAAUGAAACGUUACUAGUGGGCCAUUUUUGGUAAGCAGAACUGGCGAUGCGGGAUGAACCGAACGCGAGGUUAAGGUGCCGGAAUGCACGCUCAUCAGACACCACAAAAGGUGUUAGUUCAUCUAGACAGCCCGACGGUGGCCAUGGAAGUCGGAAUCCGCUAAGGAGUGUGUAACAACUCACGGGCCGAAUGAACUAGCCCUGAAAAUGGAUGGCGCUCAAGCGUGCUACCCAUACCUCGCCGUCGGGGUAGAAACGAUGCCCCGACGAGUAGGCAGGCGUGGAGGUCCGUGACGAAGCCUUGGGAGUGAUCCCGGGUCGAACGGCCUCUAGUGCAGAUCUUGGUGGUAGUAGCAAAUACUCAAAUGAGAACUUUGAGGACUGAAGUGGGGAAAGGUUCCAUGUGAACAGCAGUUGGACAUGGGUUAGUCGAUCCUAAGGUAUAGGGAAGUUCCGUUGAAAGG
rnacentral:ncRNA from 1 species